UACAGAGGUCUCAAGCGUUGUUCGGAUUCAUUGGGCGUAAAGGGUGCGUAGGUGGCGCCGUAAGUCGGGUGUGAAAUCUCGGGGCUUAACUCCGAAACUGCAUUCGAUACUGCGGUGCUUGAGGACUGGAGAGGAGACUGGAAUUCAUGGUGUAGCAGUGAAAUGCGUAGAGAUCAUGAGGAAGACCAGUGGCGAAGGCGGGUCUCUGGACAGUUCCUGACACUGAGGCACGAAGGCCAGGGGAGCAAACGGG
rnacentral:rRNA from 1 species